GAUGAACGCUGGCGGCGUGCCUAAUACAUGCAAGUCGAGCGAACAGAUAAGGAGCUUGCUCCUUUGACGUUAGCGGCGGACGGGUGAGUAACACGUGGGUAACCUACCUAUAAGACUGGAAUAACUUCGGGAAACCGGGGCUAAUACCGGAUAACAUUUAGAACCGCAUGGUUCUAAAGUGAAAGAUGGUUUUGCUAUCACUUAUAGAUGGACCCGCGCCGCAUUAGCUAGUUGGUAAGGUAACGGCUUACCAAGGCAACGAUACGUAGCCGACCUGAGAGGGUGAUCGGCCACACUGGAACUGAGACACGGUCCAGACUCCUACGGGAGGCAGCAGUAGGGAAUCUUCCGCAAUGGGCGAAAGCCUGACGGAGCAACGCCGCGUGAGUGAUGAAGGUCUUCGGAUCGUAAAACUCUGUUAUUAGGGAAGAACAAAUGUGUAAGUAACUGUGCACGUCUUGACGGUACCUAAUCAGAAAGCCACGGCUAACUACGUG
rnacentral:rRNA from 1 species